rnacentral:rRNA from 1 species
CACGUAGGGGGCGAGCGUUGUCCGGAUUCAUUGGGCGUAAAGAGCUCGUAGGCGGCUCAGUAAGUCGGGUGUGAAACCCUCAGGCUCAACCUGGGGACGCCACUCGAUACUGCUGUGGCUAGAGUCCAGUAGAGGAGUGUGGAAUUCCCGGUGUAGCGGUGAAAUGCGCAGAUAUCAGGAAGAACACCCGUGGCUAAGGCGGCUCUCUAGUACGGUACUGACGCUGAGACGCGAAAGCGUGGGGAGCGAACAGG